rnacentral:tRNA from 1 species
GCAUUGGUGGUUCAGUGGUGGAAUUCUCAUCUUCCACGCAGGAGACCUAGGUUCAAUUCCCAGCGAGUGCA